rnacentral:lncRNA from 1 species
UCCCAAUUCAUCACAAAUCUGAAUUUUCCAACUUCAACUAGAAAGGAAUUGUUUUAGCCACUCAUGGCGGACAAAAAUACACAAAAGAAGAGAAGAAAAGAAGAAAGUAAGUUCUGCUGUAUUUCUGCAGAAUUCCCGAGGAGGAGAGGAUGCUGAGAUGAUGUCCCUUUGUUGGUUUGGAGGCUGCUCUUUUAUAGCUGAAGAAUCCCAUCCAUUUAGGGUUUUGAAAUCCCUUUUUGAUUUGGUUUUUGUUUCCUCUUUUGAUGUUGAAUUUAAUUGCAAAUGGAAUUCCUUAGGUGAGAAACUCUUUCGUGGCUCUUGGAAUUGUGUUGGCAGUGAUUGAGUUGGAUUUGGGCUUCUCAAAAUUCGAAUUUCGGUUCCCUGCACUUUUCCCGCUUCUGCUGUCUGUUUCUGCUGUCAGUGUGAUUGGGGCAGUGAUUUGGGCAGAUCACUUGCCCCAAUCGCUUUUCCGUGAGUCAGUCCAGUUUUUAGCUUUCUGUCUCUGCG